rnacentral:rRNA from 1 species
UACGCAGGCGGCUUGGUAAGACAGAUGUGAAAUCCCCGGGCUUAACCUGGGAACUGCAUUUGUGACUGCCAGGCUCGAGUCUGUCAGAGGGGGUGGAAUUCCACGUGUAGCAGUGAAAUGCGUAGAGAUGUGGAGGAACACCGAUGGCGAAGGCAGCCCCCUGGGAUGAGACUGACGCUCAUGUACGAAAGCGUGGGGAGCAAACAGGAUUAGAUACCCUGGUAGUCCACGCCCUAAACGAUGUCGACUAGUUGUCGGGAAUUUAUUUCUCGGUAACGCAGCUAACGCGUGAAGUCGACCGCCUGGGGAGUACGGUCGCAAGAUUAA